CAGCCGCCGCGGUAAAACCAGCACCUCAAGUGGUCAGGAUGAUUAUUGGGCCUAAAGCAUCCGUAGCCGGCUCUGUAAGUUUUCGGUUAAAUCUGUACGCUCAACGUAUAGGCUGCCGGGAAUACUGCAGAGCUAGGGAGUGGGAGAGGUAGACGGUACUCGGUAGGAAGGGGUAAAAUCCUUUGAUCUAUUGAUGACCACCUGUGGCGAAGGCGGUCUACCAGAACACGUCCGACGGUGAGGGAUGAAAGCUGGGGGAGCAAACCGGAUUAGAUACCCGGGUAGUCCCAGCUGUAAGCUAUGCAAACUCAGUGAUGCAUUGGCUUGUGGCUAAUGCAGUGCUGCAGGGAAGCCGUUAAGUUUGCCGCCUGGGAAGUACGUACGCAAGUAUGAAACUUAAAGGAAUUGGCGGGGGAGCAC
rnacentral:rRNA from 2 species